rnacentral:misc_RNA from 1 species
UGAUAACAAUUAUGAUGAUUUAUCACAAGGUUUCUAUCAUAAACUUGGUGAAAAUUCCAAUAUGUCAAUUGACAGUUAUGAUAGCUUGCAAACAAGCAAUGGUGGAGGGUCUGUUGCAAUGUCCAUAGAAAGUAUUGGGUCAAAUGAUUCCCACACUCGCAUUUUGAAUCACCAAGGACUGCGGCGGCAUGCUAAUGACAAUUACUCUGUUCAACAAAGUGUUAACCGUAGAGGAAGAGUCCCACAUGCAUUGAAUGAUGAUGCAUUGGCCCAUGCACUAAUGGAUAGCAGUUCCCCAACAGAGGGCCUUGAGAAUUUUGAUGAGUG